CGGAGCUGUUCCUAUUCGGCCAUCUUGGCUCCUCCUACGUUUCAUAAAUUUCUAAGAUCAGCAAUGUGGGAGACAGGAGCUUCACCUUCAGGCUGGAUUCCAUGAUGGAGAAAACACAUGGAGCAGACCAGCAGUUAUUUGCAGCUAUCAUGUGAGUUCUCAGACAUUGGACUUGGAUUAGAACUUAUACCAUCAGCCUCCUAGUUCUCAGGCCUUUGGACUCAGAUUAGAACUAUCUCACUGGCUUUCCUCAGUCACCAGCUUGCAGAGGGCAGAUCAUGGGACUUCUCAGUCUCCAACAUCAAUGGGAAACAGUCUUCCAAGGCUACUUGCUAUACAAACAUCCUUGAAAGAUAGCCCAGAAGAAAGGACAGCCAGUGCCUCUGCUCACAACACAUGCAAAAAUGGUUACAGCCAGGAUUGAGAACCCCUAGCCUGUGCAAUGGAAUAUGCUGCCAUAGAAGCUCCUUUCCAUUACGUGUUUAG
rnacentral:lncRNA from 10 species